CAGUCGCCGCGGUAAUACGUAGGUCCCGAGCGUUGUCCGGAUUUAUUGGGCGUAAAGCGAGCGCAGGCGGUUUGAUAAGUCUGAAGUUAAAGGCUGUGGCUCAACCAUAGUUCGCUUUGGAAACUGUCAAACUUGAGUGCAGAAGGGGAGAGUGGAAUUCCAUGUGUAGCGGUGAAAUGCGUAGAUAUAUGGAGGAACACCGGUGGCGAAAGCGGCUCUCUGGUCUGUAACUGACGCUGAGGCUCGAAAGCGUGGGGAGCGAACAGGAUUAGAUACCCGAGUAGUCCCUGUCUCUUAUACA
rnacentral:rRNA from 1 species